UAAGGAUUGUAUGUAAAGUGGGGCAGUCCCCUUAGCAGCCUGAAAUGCCAACACUAGGGCCUUGAAUCGGAUGCGUGCGGCAAUAAGAAGCCAGUGGAGGCCAAUGAGGAGUGGGAUGGAUCACCAUGGUGUCAGCAGCAAGGAAGGCUUGCGCUCAAAGGAAGUGGUCUGCAACCAAUGCCUUUUUCCCUCCCCAAAGUACCCACUGAUAUUCCUGUCCAUUGGUUCCACUGUUGAUGCAAGGGCUUUGUACACCAGUGGGGGCUAAAGGAGCAUGGGGUGACCAGUCUUACCACCUCCUCUGGCUUCUGUUGAGCUGGGAUCUGCUCCUGCUGCUUUAAACCAAGUGCUGUCACCCACCUUACUCUCUUCAGUGCCAGCCUCCCUGACCUGCUGGGCUGGAAGGUCAUUCUUGCUCAGCUGAGAUGAUUGACGAGCUGACCCUGCAGCUGAACCGCACACGCCAGGCAGCCAUCACCAAGGAGGUCAUCGAGAUCAUCUCCGGCACUGCUGUGAGAUCACACUGUGGGAGCGUGACAUCACACUGUGGGAGCGUGACAUCACACUGUGGGAGCGUGACAUCACACUGUGGGAGCGUGACAUCACACUGUGGGAGCGUGACAUCACUCUAGGCAUGACAUCACACUGUAACACUCUGUAAUUACUCUGCAUCGCUCAGCUCAGUCAGGUGGUCUUAGGUGGGCGUCUCUGACGGAAUGUUUUUGUCUCUUUUAUAGAUAAACGUGGAAAAGCACUUCCGCCCUCCCUUUGCUGUGGGAUGCACAUGCAGAAUAUAUGCUGUCCAUCUGCCAACAGUUUAUGCACUUUCCUACUUCCUAGUCCUACUUUUUUAAAGCACCUUUGAAAGAAAAUUAAACCUUUUCUGAAUUUUG